CCAGACUCCUACGGGAGGCAGCAGUGGGGAAUAUUGCACAAUGGGGGGAACCCUGAUGCAGCGACGCCGCGUGGGUGAAGGAGCACCUCGGUGCGUAAAGCCCUAUCGGCAGGGAAGAAAAGCGAACAGGUUCGCCUGGACGGUACCUGACUAAGAAGCCCCGGCUAACUACGUGCCAGCAGCCGCGGGAAUACGUAGGGGGCAAGCGGUAUCCGGAUUUACUGGGUGUAAAGGGGGCGCAGACGGCAGCGCAAGCCAGGAGUGAAAGCCCGGGGCCCAACCCCGGGACUGCUCUUGGAACUGCGCGGUUGGAGUGCAGGAGGGGCAGGCGGAAUUCCUGGUGUAGCGGUGAAAUGCGUAGAUAUCAGGAGGAACACCGGUGGCGAAGGCGGCCUGCUGGACUGCAACUGACGUUGAGGCCCGAAAGCGUGGGGAGCAAACAGGAUUAGAUACCCCCGUACG
rnacentral:rRNA from 1 species